GAGGGUGUCACCAAACCAAAAUUGAAACUGGAGAAUACAAAUCGUCCUGAUGAUGAUAUGUAUUUGACAUAUGGCGAAGGCACCUCAGGUUUAAGCACCAAAACUACCAGUGGAUUUUUAAUUCCUUUGAUCAGUGUUACUGUUAUCCUUAACCUGUUUAUCUGACAUACAACUUUUUAUGAAAUAUCAGUCUUGUAUAAAUGACUGACGCUACCGCCAUCAAAUGCAUUGCUAAUGGAUCUUGCAUGGGACUUUAAA